GAUCAUGGCUCAGGAUGAACGCUGGCGGCGUGCUUAACACAUGCAAGUCGAGCGAAGCACUUUGGGAAGAUUCUUCGGAUGAUUUCCUUUGUGACUGAGCGGCGGACGGGGUGAAGGUAACGCGUGGGUAACCUGCCUCAUACAGGGGGAUAACAGUUAGAAAUGACUGCUAAUACCGCAUAAGACCACGGUACCGCAUGGUACAGUGGUAAAAACUCCGGUGGUAUGAGAUGGACCCGCGU
rnacentral:rRNA from 1 species